UCCGGGAGAUGGUGAAGGACAGGGAAGCCUGUCAUGCAAUAGCCCACCUGGUCACAAAGAGUCGUACACAACUGAGCAAACGAACAACAUCCUCUCAUGUGCAACAUCCUCCUGUGUCCAUUGUUGCCUUGAGAGGAUCCACAGAGAAGCCCUCACUUGUCUUAUGAAGGUAUAUUACUGCUAAAUUCAAGAGGAAGAGAAGGAAAAAGGGGAAAUGAAGACAUCCUUGGUUUAAAACUUAACUCUUCCCCUGAAACUGGGAACGAGUGUGUUGUUUAUGUUGAAACUUCAGCCUGGCUUAGCUCACAUGACACCAUCUAUCAAAAUUCCUAGCUUGCAGAUUCAUCCUGCCAGACUCAAUUAUGGAGUUAAUUCCAUCCUAACUGGAAACAGAGCUUUUGGUUCAUUUCCUCUCCAACCUCUCUUGGGAUGCGUUUGAUAUGAUUCCAGGGUGUCCAAGUUCAGGCCAGUUUGGUUGGAAUCAAUGGGCGUUUUCUGGCUCAUCUUCUGUGGUGUAAAGACACACACACACAUUCGCACACACCACACACUCACACAUGUGCUUGUGUGCUGCCCCAAAGCACACACACGCACACACACUCACACUCAAGCGCAGGUGUGCACACCCACACUCACACACACACACGUGCACGGAAGCCCUGGCUCCCCUCACAUCUGGCUGCACAUUUUCGACAAGGUGUGCUCCUGCUCUUCCUCAACAUUUGCAAGCCACGUUGUUGACCUCUGGCCUCUCUCCCAAGCUGUUUUCGUAGGUCACUGCCUUCAUUCUCUCCCUCAUUGCAAAAGUCCUGUUUCGAUGAGCAGGGUCUGACAAGAACAGAACACCGUGUCUUCAGUGAACUCACCACAGAUGCAUUACAACACCGCUAUCAUCAGAUCGCUUUCUCAGACGGAAGGAAUUCCUGCCAGUUCUGAUACGCAGCUGAGUUGCGGUUUAACUCCUCGUGCUGAGAAUGCCACGGGGAGUGAGAUGGAGCGGCCCUGUGUUCUCUCUACGCAGUGCAGGUAGAGAACACCUUUGCAGAGACAGAUGCAACGUCACGCUGAUAUUCUCAUUCAUUCGCUUCAAGGUAUACACCAGGUGUUGCAGAAGGAAACGGCAGCCCACUCCAGUGUUCCUGCCUGGGAAAUCUCAUGGACAGAGGAGCCUGGCGGGCUACAGUCCAUGGGGUCGCGAAAGAGUCAGACGCAACUGAGUGGCAGAGCACAUACCACGCUUGCCAUAUAGCUUCUUCUAACUCAUGUUUCCUGGAUGGAUGCUCUGUUUACUUUAACAAUUUUGUUUCAAUGCUAUAAACCAAGAGUGAGUCAACUGUGGCCCCUGGCUCUGGUAUGGGCACCCACCUGUGCUUGUAAAUAAAGUUUUAUUGGGACGUGGCCCUGACCGUUUGUGUAUCCGUUGUCUACUGCCACUUUCCUGCUACAAAAGCAAAGUGAAUAGUUGAGAAUGAGGUCGCACAGCCUGAAAAACGGAAAUAUUUACUAUCUGGACCUUUUUGGAGAAAACUAGCUGACUUGUGCUAUGAAGAGUGAAAUUUGGGACGGUGCAAUGUAUGGCUUUUUAUUUGAUUCAUGUCAAUAAUAAAUUAUAUUUGAAACAUUC